GCUUAUUUAACAUGUGAAAUGAACUAAAAUUUCUCAGGAGACUCUAGGAAAAGUUGGUCUAGCAUACAAAGCCUUAGGCAUUUUUAAAAAUCAUGUUUCAAGGGCCCAAAUAGAAAUGGGGGAAAAAACAGUGGGAAAGGUGAAUUCUCUCCCUUUCUUAUUGAGCUGAGACAUUGAUCUUCUCUUGCUGUCAGACAUCAGAGCCCCUGGUAUGUGGGCCUUUGGAAUCUGGACUUUCACCAUCAGUCCCUUGUUUCUUAGGCCUUUAAUCUCAAAGUUGGAGUUACACUGUCAACGUCCCUGAUUCUCAGGCUGUUAAACUUGGACAAAAUUGAACCACUGGCUUUCUUUAUUUUUCAUCUUGAAGAUAGCUUAUCCAAACUGUAUCCAAAUCAUAUCCAAACCAUAGCAUCCUUUUGGUUCUGUUUUUCUAGAAAAUUCUGACUAAUGCAGAAUUAUUGUAUAUCUUGAUUAUUGUGAUAGUGACAUAAAUUUACAUAAUGUAGUAAAAUUGCAUAGACCUAAAUACAUAUGCACACAGCAUCCACAAAAGAGCAUCUCUGGGGAAGCUGAAAUAAGGUGUGUGGACUAAUCAAUGUCAGUUUCCUGGUUAUGAUAUUAUACUUUGGUUAUGCACUAGAUUAC
rnacentral:lncRNA from 1 species